rnacentral:tRNA from 1 species
GUGGUCGUGGUGAAACAGGUAUCACACCGGGCUUCCACCCCGGAAGAGAGAGUUCGAGCCUCUCCGACCGCACCA